CAGGACGAACGCUGGCGGCGUGCUUAACACAUGCAAGUCGAACGGUGAAGCCCUUCGGGGUGGAUCAGUGGCGAACGGGUGAGUAACACGUGGGCAAUCUGCCCUGCACUCUGGGACAAGCCCUGGAAACGGGGUCUAAUACCGGAUACGACCUUCCUCUGCAUGGGGGUUGGUGGAAAGCUCCGGCGGUGCAGGAUGAGCCCGCGGCCUAUCAGCUUGUUGGUGGGGUAAUGGCCUACCAAGGCGACGACGGGUAGCCGGCCUGAGAGGGCGACCGGCCACACUGGGACUGAGACACGGCCCAGACUCCUACGGGAGGCAGCAGUGGGGAAUAUUGCACAAUGGGCGAAAGCCUGAUGCAGCGACGCCGCGUGAGGGAUGACGGCCUUCGGGUUGUAAACCUCUUUCAGCAGGGAAGAAGCGCAAGUGACGGUACCUGCAGAAGAAGCACCGGCUAACUACGUGCCAGCAGCCGCGGUAAUACGUAGGGUGCGAGCGUUGUCCGGAAUUAUUGGGCGUAAAGAGCUCGUAGGCGGCCUGUCGCGUCGGAUGUGAAAGCCCGGGGCUUAACCCCGGGUCUGCAUUCGAUACGGGCAGGCUAGAGUGUGGUAGGGGAGAUCGGAAUUCCUGGUGUAGCGGUGAAAUGCGCAGAUAUCAGGAGGAACACCGGUGGCGAAGGCGGAUCUCUGGGCCAUUACUGACGCUGAGGAGCGAAAGCGUGGGGAGCGAACAGGAUUAGAUACCCUGGUAGUCCACGCCGUAAACGNUNNGAACUAGGUGUUGGCGACAUUCCACGUCGUCGGUGCCGCAGCUAACGC
rnacentral:rRNA from 1 species